AUUGAACGCUGGCGGCAGGCCUAACACAUGCAAGUCGAACGAGUGGCGGACGGGUGAGUAAUGUCUGGGAAACUGCCUGAUGGAGGGGGAUAACUACUGGAAACGGUAGCUAAUAACGCAUACCAUCAGAUGUGCACAGAUGGGAUUAGCUAGUUGGUGGGGUAAAGGCCUACCAAGGCGACGAUCCGUAACUGGUCUGUGAGGAUGAUCAGUCACACUGGAACUUAGACACGGUCCAGACUCCUACGGGAGGCAGCAGUGGGGAAUAUUGGACAAUGUGCGAAAGCCUGCUCCAGCCAUGCCGCGUGUGUUAAGCAGGUCUUCGGAUUGGAAAGCACUUUAAGUUGGGAGGCGUUACCCGCAGAAUGAGCCCCGGCUAACUUCGUGCCAGCAGCCGCGGUAAUAC
rnacentral:rRNA from 1 species